rnacentral:rRNA from 1 species
AGGGGGAUAACUACUGGAAACGGUAGCUAAUACCGCAUAACGUCUUCGGACCAAAGUGGGGGACCUUCGGGCCUCACGCCAUCAGAUGUGCCCAGAUGGGAUUAGCUAGUAGGUGGGGUAAUGGCUCACCUAGGCGACGAUCCCUAGCUGGUCUGAGAGGAUGACCAGCCACACUGGAACUGAGACACGGUCCAGACUCCUACGGGAGGCAGCAGUGGGGAAUAUUGCACAAUGGGCGCAAGCCUGAUGCAGCCAUGCCGCGUGUGUGAAGAAGGCCUUCGGGUUGUAAAGCACUUUCAGCGAGGAGGAAGGGUGNUGUCUUAAUACGGCAUCGCAUUGACGUUACUCGCAGAAGAAGCACCGGCUAACUCCGUGCCAGCAGCCGCGGUAAUACGGAGGGUGCAAGCGUUAAUCGGAAUUACUGGGCGUAAAGCGCACGCAGGCGGUUUGUUAAGUCAGAUGUGAAAUCCCCGCGCUUAACGUGGGAACUGCAUUUGAAACUGGCAAGCUAGAGUCUCGUAGAGGGGGGUAGAAUUCCAGGUGUAGCGGUGAAAUGCGUA